UCCCCCAUGGCCCAAUGGCUAAGGCGUCCGACUGUUAUCAACGGCAAUCGGGAGAUUCGAAGUUCGAUCCUUCGUGGGGGAG